GAGGAGAACCACGUCGCCAGUCAUUGUUCUUCCUUGGUAGAGAAGACACACACGUGCGGAGCUUCCUCAGGAUCGGGGGCCGUCAGCUGCUGCCUCAAGGCGUGUUGUGGACGAACUGGAAACGGUUGACAUCGAGGGACGGAGGCAAGAUGAGGAGGCGAGGCGAGAGAACAACAGCUGCAGCGAGGCAUCCAAAUCCAGUCCAUUGCUGAGCCAAGGCCUGAGGUUGGAGCGGCUCUCACAGCCUGCUGGCCUGGACGGACUGCUGGCUGAGCGCCUCCUUCAUGAUUUUGAGCACCAGGUCGACAUUCUCCGGAGUACAGUUGUAGCCCAUGAGCCCCACCCGCCACACUUGCCCGGCACUGGGUCCCAGCCCUCCGCUGAUCUCCACCUUGUAGCUGAUUAAAACAAAGGCACCCGGAUAGUGGAGACGGUUGGCGUUCGCUUGGCUGGGUCGCUAAUGAAGAGCUGCAGGCCGAGGGAAGCCAGGCCCUCAUGCAGCCGCUGGGCACAGGCGGCGUGGCGGGCCCAGAGGGACUCCAGGCCCUCCGCACACACCAG